rnacentral:rRNA from 1 species
CAGUCGCCACGGGAAUACGUAGGUGGCAAGCGUUGUCCGGAAUUAUUGGGCGUAAAGCGCGCGCAGGCGGUUUCUUAAGUCUGAUGUGAAAGCCCCCGGCUUAACCGGGGAGGGUCAUUGGAAACUGGGAGACUUAGAGUGCAGAAGAGGAGAGUGGAAUUCCAUGUGUAGCGGUGAAAUGCGUAGAUAUAUGGAGGAACGCCAGUGGCGAAGGCGACUCUCUGGUCUGUAACCGACGCUGAGGCGCGAAAGCGUGGGGAGCAAACAGGAUUAGAUACCCCUGUAGUCCCUGUCUCUUAUA